UCCUACGGGAGGCAGCAGUGAGGAAUAUUGGUCAAUGGUCGAGAGACUGAACCAGCCAAGUAGCGUGAAGGAAGACUGCCCUAUGGGUUGUAAACUUCUUUUGUUUGGGAAUAAAGUGGGCCACGUGUGGCCUUUUGUAUGUACCAUACGAAUAAGCAUCGGCUAAUUCCGUGCCAGCAGCCGCGGUAAUACGGAAGAUGCGAGCGUUAUCCGGAUUUAUUGGGUUUAAAGGGAGCGUAGGCGGCCUGUUAAGUCAGCGGUUAAAUGUCAGUGCCCAACAUUGGCAUGCCGUUGAUACUGGUGGGCUUGAAUACACACAAGGAUGGUGGAAUUCGUCGUGUAGCGGUGAAAUGCUUAGAUAUGACGAAGAACUCCGAUUGCGAAGGCAGCCAUCUGGGGUGCGAUUGACGCUGAGGCUCGAAAGUGCGGGAAUCAAACAGGAUUAGAUACCCUGGUAGUCC
rnacentral:rRNA from 1 species